GUUCAGCAGGGAGGCACACACCUGGGGGUAAUUGUAAUCAGCUUCCUGUCUUGAGCCCUACGACCACACCAAGAAGGUGCUGCAUCAUGCCUGAGUCCCAAGUUGUUUGCUGUAUGGUUGGCAGAGGGUGAGGAUAUCCAAGGCAAGGUGGUGGGCUGUCGGCGACAAGGAGCGAGCAGGUGGUGUGGCUUGGCGGCGCGGCGGGAGCAGGCAGCGAGGCGGCGAAGGCACGGAAGGAACACUGGAGACGGGUGGGAACAAAAUCGGGCGCAGGCUUGCUGGACUUGACAGGCUUAAAUGCAGCCAGUAAUCGGUGCUGCUCGAAGACAGGUGCGCGGCACAGGUGAUGCUGCUUGCUGGGGAGAACGAGGGGGACAGGGGGAGACAAGGCGCCACCCAAGCUCCAAAAGAGGGCAUGGAUCAUGACAAUCUGGACGCCAUUAAAGAGUGGGCCGCCACUGUACUGCCUCAUUUUUCAGCCAAAAAGGUUAGACUUAUUUUGCAUUGCUUUUACUUUUACUUUACAAAUAACAAAACAAAUGAAUAUCAAGUAUUUUUUCAAGUAUGGGAAGGAGUGCCAUUAAAUUUCCUGAACUGUUCAUGCAAGCUUCUUUAGGAUCACCUGGUAUGUUGUGUUGUUUACCGUACAUGAAAAGAUACCCUAAAGAUAGAGCCUUGAGCUACAAUUUGCAUACCUAUUAUCAUCAUAUAUCAUAUUUUUCUAUUUUCUCACUUUUAUUGGUCAUGCAAAGUAUGUUGGAAUGAUAUAAAUGGAAGUCGUUUUUUUUUAAACAUUUUUACAAGGACAGAGAGCCGAAAUACAUGUUACCUUUUGUAAAUCAAUGAACGGCAUUCUUUGGCUUUUACAGUUUAGUAAUAACUUUUUAUUACUUUUGACCUCAUGGGACCUUGGAUCCUCACAUUCCAUUAUAUCUAAUCUCCAAAUCAAAAUCCUCUUUUUGUGAAAAUAAAGAGAUUACACUAACAGAAGAAUUUGAUGUUAUUAUUGCAGCCAUAUUAUUACUAUUGCUGGUGCAUUUGACAAAUUUCUUGAUUUUAUUUGACAUCAUAUCAUAUAAAAAAAAAUAAAAAUAAAAACAAAUGUCAUAUGCCAUAUCAUGUCAUACCAUGUCAUAUGAAUUGAUCCCAGACAACAAGGAGAAAAUUAAACAUGCUCCCCAAAGAGCUUAAAGAUCUCAAUAGGAUAACGUGAUAAAUGUUGUACAGUAUUCAUUUAGUUUUGUGUUUGUGUCUGAUUGUUACAGUUGCAUUUUAUUCAUGAAAGUUUUUAUUUUCCUCAUACACGUUAUCCAAUCUUGCCUAGAUAUUUCUUCUGAUCAGCUUCAAAGAUUCAGUGAUUAUUUUUCUGUAUCCGAGCAUUUAUUGGAUUUGAAUGGUGUAUGUACUGUCGAUGAUGUUUCAGGGUUCUGCCAGUUACAUUUCUCACCUGAUU